AGCAGCCGCGGUAAUUCCAGCUCCAAUAGCGUAUAUUAAAGUUGUUGCAGUUAAAAAGCUCGUAGUUGAAUUUCGGGGUCAGUAGAUUGGUCAUGCCUCCGGUAUGCACUGGUCUUACUGGCUCCUCCUUCCUGAUGAACCGUAAUGCCAUUAAUUUGGUGUUGCGGGGAGACUGGACUGUUACUUUGAAAAAUUAGAGUGUUUAAAGCAGGCUAACGCUUGAAUACAUUAGCAUGGAAUAAUGAAAUAGGACGUUCGAUCUUAUUUUGUUGGUUUCUAAGAUUGACGUAAUGAUUAAUAGGGAUAGUUGGGGGCAUUAGUAUUCAAUUGUCAGAGGUGAAAUUCUUGGAUUUAUUGAAGACUAACUACUGCGAAAGCAUUUG
rnacentral:rRNA from 1 species